CUGCGGCCAGGACCGCCCACGCGAGGCUUUUUCUGCGCUUGCUCCGCCUCCGCACGCCGCUGGCCGCCCGGGCUUCUCGGCGCGCGUUCGUCGCGCUGACAGUCCCGUCCGCUGCUUGUCCUCGAGUCCUGGGGUGUGAGGAAGCGAAAAGGGACUGGACGAGCGGUGGGCUACCUCUUCGGUGAGGAAGAAGUCCGGCCUGGGGUGCGAAGGGCGCUGACGUUUGGGGGCACCUUACAGUGUCGCUCUGGGCUUCCGAGUUUCUCCCUCCGCUGGCUGGCUUCCUCAGCUAAAGAGCAAGGGAUGUGCCCGGGUGGGUGAUAUGCAACUUGCUAGGCCUCCCUCCGUGGCUGUCCCGUCACCACCCGCCCCGAGCUCAGAGACCGGAGGCUUCUGGUGUGGGGUCGGGCUUGUCGCCCCAGGGCAGGGAGUUACAGCCCCUUCCUUCCGUGAGGGUGAGAAGGGCGACAUGGUUCGACACAGCAGGUGAAGGGUAUAAGAAGAAGUUAGCAGUCUACAAGCCAGAAAAAAAUUUCUCACCCGGACUCAACCAUACUGGUACCCUGAUCUUGGAUUUCCAGUCUCCAGAAAUGACAAACAUCUGGGUUCAUUUGGAAAGGAAGUCCAUCAUUCAUACUGCACAGUGGAAUUUAGAAAGUGCUAAAGACACAAAGUGAAGAAGUUUCCUAAGAGAAUAUAGAGGGAAGAACAUCACUCUACUGUUACCAAAAUCUCUAUUUGUGAUAAGGAAAUGAAGACAGUUGUUAUGUCCCGCUCGCUGCUUGCCGCUUGCAGUGGGGAGUGACUCCAGGACCCUGCUUCACACAGCCUUGGGGUCCUUCCCAUGAAGCUUGGUCCAACAGAGAAGCGAGCACCCAAAGGAAGUCCAUGCACAUCCUGAGCGGUGGACAAAAGCCAAGACUUGACAGGUUUACAAAUGAGAAAUCCAUGGCACAGAAAAUUUACGGUAUUUCCCAAGGAAGAUUCAACAGUCUAAAAUCCUUGUCUAUAUUAAAAAGCAGGAAGAGCUCUGAGUCAAAUUAUAACAUCUGUGCUAUCUCCAAGUUACUGAAAGUUCCAGAAGGGCACCACAUUUUUCUGGAGAAACAAAGGCACAUGAUCAUAAAGGUUUUCUGGCAGACCCCAAAAGACUCCUGAACCUAUUGAUCACAAGAACAGCGUUGCUCUUGUUUAUCACUUGGAGGAGAAAGAAGUACCGGAAAGGAACCAGUUAUUUACUAGAAGAGUAUUUUGCCUGCACUUCCUACUGAUGGAACAUAAAGUGACACGCCUGACAUGGGAGACAGAUGCCUGCGUGUGGAAUGCACGCUUGCAUUCCCCAUUUUUAUCCCCUAGAG